AUUGAACGCUGGCGGCAGGCCUAACACAUGCAAGUCGAACGGCAGCACAGAAGAGCUUGCUCUUUGGGUGGCGAGUGGCGGACGGGUGAGUAAGGUCUGGGAAACUGCCCGUUGGAGGGGGAUAACUACUGGAAACGGUAGCUAAUACCGCAUAACGUCGCGAGACCAAAGUGGGGGACCUUCGGCCCUCACACCAUCGGAUGUGCCCAGAUGGGGUUAGCUAGUAGGUGGGGUAAUGGCUCACCUAGGCGAGGAUCCCUAGCUGGUCUGAGAGGAUGACCAGCUACACUGGAACUGAUACACGGACCAGACUCCUAAGGGAGGCAGAAGGGGGGAAUAUUGCACAAUGGGCGAAAGCGUGAUGCAGCCAUGCCGCGUGUAUGAAGAAGGCCUUCGGGUUGUAAAGUACUUUCAGCGGGGAGGAAGGCGGUGAGGUUAAUAACCUUGCCGAUUGACGUUACCCGCAGAAGAAGCACCGGCUAACUCCGUGCCAGCAGCCGCGGUAAAAC
rnacentral:rRNA from 1 species